AGAGUUUGAUCCUGGCUCAGAACGAACGCUGGCGGCGUGCUUAACACAUGCAAGUCGAGUGCGCGUUCCGUAGCAAUACGGAAUGGCGCACGGGCAGGGUGCGUAACACGUGACCUGCCCUUUGGUGGGGAAUAACUCCGCGAAAGCGAGCUAUUCCGCAUAAGAUCCGCAAGGAUGAAAGCCGAAAGGGCCUGGAGGGCCCGCGCCCGAUUAGCUAGUUGGAGGGUAAUGGCCUACCAAGUUGAUCGGUAGCUGGUCUGAGAGGAUGAUCAGCCACACUGGAACUGAGACACGGUCCAGACUCCUACGGGAGGCAGCAGUGGGGAAUCUUGCACAAUGGGCGAAAGCCUGAUGCAGGACGCCGCGUGGGGGAGAAGCAUUUCGGUGUGUAACCCCUUUCGAUCCGGCGAAACCCCGCAAGGGAUUGACGGUACGGAUAUAAGAAGCCCCGGCUACUCGUGCCAGCAGCCGCGGUAAGACGUAGGGGCCAGCGUUGUUGGAAUUACUGGGUGUAAAGGGUUGUAGGCGGUGCGGCAAGUUGGGAGUGAAAUCUCUGGGCUUAACCCAGAGGCUGCUUCCAAAACUGCUGUGCUUGAGUGUGGGAGAGGCGCGUGGAAUUGCAGGUGUAGCGGUGAAAUGCGUAGAUAUCUGCAGGAACACCCGUGGCGAAGCGGCGCGCUGGACCACUACUGACGCUGAGGAACGAAAGCUAGGGGAGCAAACAGGAUUAGAUACCCUAGUAGUCC
rnacentral:rRNA from 1 species